rnacentral:rRNA from 1 species
GACGAACGCUGGCGGCGUGCCUAAUACAUGCAAGUUGAGCGCUGAAGGUUGGUACUUGUACCGACUGGAUGAGCAGCGAACGGGUGAGUAACGCGUGGGGAAUCUGCCUUUGAGCGGGGGACAACAUUUGGAAACGAAUGCUAAUACCGCAUAAAAACUUUAAACACAAGUUUUAAGUUUGAAAGAUGCAAUUGCAUCACUCAAAGAUGAUCCCGCGUUGUAUUAGCUAGUUGGUGAGGUAAAGGCUCACCAAGGCGAUGAUACAUAGCCGACCUGAGAGGGGGAUCGGCCAAAUUGGGACUGAGACCCGGCCCAAACUCCUACGGGAGGCAGCAGUGGGGAAUUUUCGGCAAGGGGCGAAAGCUGGACCGAGCAACGCCGGGGGAGUGAAGAAGGUUUUCGGAUCGUAAAACUCUGUUGGUAGGGAAGAACUUGGGUGGGAGGGGAAAGCCCAUAAAUGACCGGAAAUAACCAAAAAAGGGACGGCUAACUCCGG